CACACUCUCAGAGAGCUCAACUCUGCAUGCACUUUUCUAUUUGCUGCUUUAUGGGAAAGUUGUGUCUCUCCCUCUCUUCAUCCCUCCCCUCUUUUUUCCCUGCCCGUCUGCCUCUGUCAUGUGCUUUGGAUGUGUUCAUGCUUUUGGCACAGAGCGGCCGUCGUGCGGGUUACAGAGAGGCAGCGGCAAUUUUAAAGUCUCACCCUCCUUAAACAAUCAACAAACAGACCAACUUCUCAACAGCCCAGCAAAUUAUAUGUCUGGGAUUUUUUUUUAUUUUUUAUUUUGUUUUAUUUAUUUUUUUCCCCCAAGAGGAACAUUUACCUACACACCAUAUCAUGACACACACGGACCUCGUUGUUCUUUCUGCUUCUGCCGCCUUGGACACUUUCUGGUCCCCUCGCAGUCAUCUGGCACCGUGAGGAACGAUGGUGAAAGGCAGCAACAGCCAGCUGCAAGAAGCUGGGAAAAGAUGUCGUCAUAGGAGCUCCCGGAUUUUGCUUUCUACUGGACCUGUGUAAGGUUGGAUGAAGAAGAGCCUUGAGUGACCAACCCCCAACACUGAAGUCAUGAAGGAUGUGUCGGUAAUCUCCAAGGUGGACGAGUUAUUCGGAUGGACAAGAGAGGAGGCUAAUUUUUUGGCAAGAAGAGGAUUUGAGAUUCCCUGGACUCUCGCUUUGUGCUUUAAAGAACAGCAGCCCAACAUCACCGAGCAGAUCACACAAUGUUUUUGCUUGAAGUCAUAUUUCCAAACGGAAAGUUAUUUUUCAUUAGGUGUAGUAGAGAAAUAUAAAAAAAAAACCAACAGGCCCAAUAGUCUUGAUGUGCAUGUGGCCAAAUUUUGGUAAUUAAAUCAUGAAUUCAAAAUUAACGUGUUAAAAAUGAUAGCAGUGGGGUUCAGUCAAUGAGCUCAUUCAUCAAACGGGCGGCCUUUAUAUAGGGAUAAAAUCAGCAAGUGUUGUGCUCCUGGUUCCAGAGCAUUCCCCUUAGAAAAUCUGAGUCAGGUAGGUUGUUAAAGAAAAUAAUUAGGGAGGAGAAAACGUUGAAGAAAGCAGAAAAUGAUAGGCUGCUCAAGUAAAAUGGAAACCAGACCCAGAACGACCAGGGAG